rnacentral:rRNA from 1 species
AUGCGACCCCAGUCAGGCGGACUACUACUGGGCGAUCUUUGCUUCUAUGAUUAAAGAAUAUGAU